UACGGAGGGUGCAAGCGUUAUCCGGAUUCACUGGGUUUAAAGGGUGCGUAGGAGGGUAGGUAAGUCAGUGGUGAAAUCUCCGGGCUCAACUCGGAAACUGCCGUUGAUACUAUCUGUCUUGAAUGCCGUGGAGGUGAGCGGAAUAUGUCAUGUAGCGGUGAAAUGCUUAGAUAUGGCAUAGAACACCAAUUGCGAAGGCAGCUCACUACACGAACAUUGACUCUGAGGCACGAAAGCGUGGGGAUCAAACAGG
rnacentral:rRNA from 1 species